GCUCGAGUGGCGAACGGGUGAGUAACACGUGAGUAACCUGCCCUUGACUUUGGGAUAACUUCAGGAAACUGGGGCUAAUACCGGAUAGGAGCUCCUGCUGCAUGGUGGGGGUUGGAAAGUUUCGGCGGUCGGGGAUGGACUCGCGGCUUAUCAGCUUGUUGGUGGGGUAGUGGCUUACCAAGGCUUUGACGGGUAGCCGGCCUGAGAGGGUGACCGGCCACAUUGGGACUGAGAUACGGCCCAG
rnacentral:rRNA from 1 species